UCCGAAGGGGGCUAUCGUUGCUCGGAAUUACUGGGCGUAAAGGGCGCGUAGGCGGACCUGUCAGUCAGGCGUGAAAGCCCAGGGCUCAACCCUGGAACUGCGCUUGAUACUGCGGGUCUGGAGUGCCGGAGAGGAUGGUGGAAUUCCCAGUGUAGAGGUGAAAUUCGUAGAUAUUGGGAAGAACACCGGUGGCGAAGGCGGCCAUCUGGACGGCAACUGACGCUGAGGCGCGAAAGCGUGGGGAGAAAACAGG
rnacentral:rRNA from 1 species